UACGUAGGGGGCAAGCGUUGUCCGGAAUCAUUGGGCGUAAAGAGCGUGUAGGCGGCUCGGUAAGUCCGCUCUGAAAGCCCGGGGCUCAACCCCGGGAGGCGGGCGGAUACUGUCGGGCUAGAGUCCGGAAGAGGAGAGUGGAAUUCCUGGUGUAGCGGUGAAAUGCGCAGAUAUCAGGAGGAACACCCGUGGCGAAAGCGGCUCUCUGGGACGGUACUGACGCUGAGACGCGAAAGCGUGGGGAGCAAACAGG
rnacentral:rRNA from 1 species